rnacentral:lncRNA from 1 species
UAUGGUCCUCUCAGUCCUCCUGUGUGCUCUAAUUUGCUCACUUGGAUUAAAUUCCAUCAUUAGGUGUGCAUUAAGGUGCUCUAGUUUAGUAGCUUCCAGGUCUGCUGACAAUUCUUCAGCUGGUUUAGCCAAUACAGGAGUCAAGCGAAAAGCAUUAAAGACUUUCCCAACAGUAAAUUACUCAACUGAUUUAAAUCUACCUGGAUUGGACACAGAAUGUGCAAUAUGUCUCUCAGAGUUUACACCUGGUGAACGUGUGCGCCUUCUUCCCAAAUGCAACCAUGGAUUCCAUGUCCGGUGUAUUGACAAGUGGCUCAGCUCACACUCAUCUUGCCCUACAUGUAGGCACUGCCUGAUUGAGACAUGCCAAAAGAUUGUUGGUUGUAGCCAGACAAGCUCUUCAGAUCCUCCAGUGCAAGAAAGCAUUGUAAACAUAGCACCACUAGAACCUGAAGCUUUGAUACGCAGUUAUAGAGGAACUAGCUAAUUUUUCUUUUCUUUAAUUGUAUGCUACAUUAGCUUAAGUUGACCCAGAUCUCUAAAGAUGGCACUAAAGAGCCUUUAUCAUAGGUUAAAGCUUACCAUUCAGAAGUGUAGUACAGAUGUAAAUAUGUAUAGAGUUUGGAAUUGUAACUUAUUUCAAGUUCUCCUCAAUGUUUAGAAACUAAUACCAAAAUGUAAAUAUGUGCAAUUUCAAUAGCAUAUUUAACCAUGUUCCAAGUAGGAGUCAUCAAGAAUCUAGUAUUCUACUCAAGUUCAUAAAGCAGGAAGCAAGUCAGAGAGUCAAAGUAGCUAACCAAAGAGUACUGAGAAGGAAAACCACUCAAAACCCAGCUAGUUCAAAGGGGAGGCGGCUGUGCUCUUUCUUUAUAUCUUUUACAAAAAUAGGCCAAUAUGUUCCCACUAUGCUUCUCCACAAACUAGUCCUAUCAUUUUUUAUAGCAAGGCAUAUUACAAUAAUAUAAAGCAUCUUAUCAAAUAUAUAAAAAUUAUUUUAUUGGACUGAGGGUCAUGUAUCAAAUAGGAACAGUAGAAUCUCCCCUUAAUAGUAAUGUAACACAUAAUUAGUACCCCCAAAAUGCAAUAAUUAAUUAACAUAAAAGUUAUUUCAUUAUUGUCGUUUCCAGCAAUCCUACAAUAAGAAAAUGGCCUCAUUCUAACGCCAUGCAAAGAGACAGAAAUUUGUAGCAAUCCAUAUAAAGCCAAUAAAUUUGUCCAAUCAAAAGAGCAUAAAACCAAUGGAAGCUGAGGAUGCAUCCACCAUGCACUUCCAUAUCAAAUGAAUGUGUGCUAAAAUGGGGAUUUUGUAACAUAAUUCAUUAGAAAGUGUCUCAAUGAGAGCACUGACUAAUCGCACUAGCCUGGGGGCUGGAAUUUUAUUUGUAAAUGCUUAUGGUGCAUGGUGAUAUGCUGCAGUUGAAGAAUUUGGACAAUUAAUGGACAAAGUAGAGCCUCAAAACUGCUCUCUAUUUUGACUGCAGUGCUACAAUGUCAACGGCUCUUAUAACUAUGAUGGCUGUCCACAUCACCAAUAGUUCUUAAAAGAACUACAGCAAUAAAUAGUGAAUAGGACAUUAGAUCAAUAGAGAGAGGCAAAAGAGACAUAUUUCUAGCUUAAGAAGGUGAGUAUAUUUUUAUGAGGUGUUCAGUUUCACUUAGACCAUGAAGGGUCCUAAAUUUCUACUUGCCCCACCAGAAACAACCACCAGUUGUACUGGAUUUGAAAUCUAUAUUUCAUUUACUUCAUGCAAAAACCAAAAUAGAGGCAGGCUUCUUAAAAAACUUUUAAAUUAAUAAGAACAUACUAAAUAUUAUAAUAUAAAUGCAUGUAGUCAGUUUUGAACAUUCCCCUAACACUUCUCUUAAUGCAUUGAGAUGCUACUUCUUGGAGACUAACAAAUGACAUGCUUCAUCCAUUAGCAUGAUCUCUAUUUCUUACAAAAGAGUGCAAUCAAAGAGGAGCAAAUUGUUAGAACCAUGAGAUUUACUUCGGAGUUACUUCUAGAGUUAUAUAUAGAGUUGUUCGAAUUUGGAGUAUUGAAGUCUGGGAUACAGGUUCCAGACAAAAAAGAAUUUGUCAUGGUAAACCAAAAAGAAGAAGCCAUGGUAAUACAAUAAACACAAAACUCCAGAGAUUAACAGAAUAUGGAGAUACUUCUAGUUAGAUACCAAAUUCUGCCAGUAUAAUGUCUUCCAGGACAGGGUCAGGCAGAACAGGUUCUUAAGCUAGCCUACAAGUAGGCUUAUAAUUGGGGAACUAAAAGAGGAUUAGAUUUUCCAAAUAAAGAUCUUCAAAAUUUUCUAUGUCUUAUUUUAUGUAUUCAAGAUUAUAUGCCCCAUGAGACAUGUCAACAAGUUUUUUUUCUUUGAAAAAAAAUGAUAACUCUCAAUUAGAAUUAGAUGGUUUGCCUUUAUGCUAUAGGCUAACUAUUUUUUAUUAGAUAAAGUCCAAAAAGAACAUUGACCUGAGAAUAUAAUCCCACAACCUAUAUAGACACUUAUUUUUAUUCUAUAGCAUGAAGAUAUCCACUCAAAUAUAAAAGGCACUAAGGCCUAGAGAUGUAUUACCCUUCCCGCACCAAGCCACACCACCUCCUUCCUUUCCUCUAUCUCUCCCCAGAAAGUGAAAAGGACAAAUAACCAUAUAUUAUCAUGUAAUAUGUCUGUACUGCAGCUUUUCUUUAUGUAAUAAUAUUCUAGCGCCUAUCAAGCCCUAUCAUCAGUAUGAAAUUCGUUUUUAAAGUUAACAAAGCACGUGAGAAUUCAUAAUAAUAAUUGCAUAUACAAGAGUGGGCACCUCACUAACAAGCCAAUAACAUCAAUUAAAACAUAGGCUAUGCAAAAUUUGACCAAAUCUGUCACAAAUUUGAACCAUGCAAGCAAAGUUCUCCAUAAUAACUAUGUUAAAUUGUAAGCAGAAUGAUGAACUCCUCCUAAAACUUAACAUUCAGAUAUGAUUCACUCAUUAAAGGCUGCUAGCAUUUUAACAGUUUCUUUCAAGUGAGAUUCUCAUGUGACUGAAAAAUUGUGAAGCUUUUGUUAGGAAAGUUGCCAUGACAAUGGUGUAGCUAACCACAAUAUAGAGCUUGCUUCCUCAAACUUUUACUGCUUUUAUUGCUUCAGAACUACACUGUUCUCCCCAUUUAACUACUACCUAGUGACAGUGACCUAAUGAAUAAAAAGAAUUUUAAGGAAGGAUGCCUUACAUUGAAGCAGUGUCGUUACAAGAAGAAAGGACAAAGGUCCAAAUUUAGAAACUCUACCCAAAGCCCCAAGCACCAAGAUUUAUUAAAUUUUCCUCUCAGUAAAUGCUAAGCUAAUUUAAAUAGCAGAAGAAAGAAAAAGUGGAAGAAGACAAAAGAAAGAAAAGAACUGAAAAGAAUUCAAAUUUAAGUCAUUUAAAGUGUUUUGCUGUGAAGAUCAAGAGAUCAGGAGUUAAAACUUUUUAAAUGUGGAGAAAUGUGUUUCCAUAAUGAUAGAUGUGUUGAAUAUUUCAUAGAAUGAUUUCAUAUCAAACUAUUUAGAAGGUUUAAGAAGAAGAGAUAACACAUUAUUCCCUUCUAGAGGUGAGUACCUGAUAGUACCUCUGCCAUGCUUUCUCUUGUUUGCAUGAAUUACAGUUCUGAAGCAGUUCCUACUAGGUGAUAACUUCAUAUUGGAUCAUGGGAGUGAAUAGUUGGUCUGUUAGUAGUUGAUUUAUUUGCAAAAUGCCAAAAAGGAUGAGCAGGAAAACAAUAGUCAUGGUCAUCAGGUUUGGUCAUGGUCAUCUCUGGUAUCUGCUGGUUCAUACUUUCAUCUGAAUGCAACAAUUCGAGCUGCUUUUACACAAGGGAUAGAAGUGGGAUUUCUUAGAGAGCAUCCACUUGUAAUGAAUGCAGUAUAAUUGUUUAGGCCUAUAUGAGAACUUGAGAGGUAAAGAAAGUCUCUUCAUGCUAAGAGGGAAAACCUAAUUGUGUGUCAUGGCUACUGAUGUUGUACUGAGGGAUCUUCCUCUUUUUCUGAAGUUAAUGUCUCAAGCCUCAGCCAUCUUUGUUUUGAGGUUUGUGCACUAAUUGCCCUCAAAUUAUGUAAUUAUUAUGUUUACACUUGCCAAGGGAACUAAAAGAAAUAAAAGAGAAUUAUCAAAGAAAGGAUAGAAAGCUUUGAAGAUAUAACAUGCAUAGCAAACAAAAAGAUCAGAGAUUGGCUCAAAAAUAUCACCAUGAAGUAAAAUCCUUCGAUUUGAUCCAAAACAGAUGCAUGGUUUACCUAUGGAUUUGAUCUAUAUGAGCCAUAUUUGAGGCAAAUAUGUUAACAACAGCAUAACCAACAAAGAUCCAGAUUGCUAGAAUCAUAGAGAAGUUAUAGAAUCAGCACAGGGAUGACAAUCGACCAAAAGGUCUAAAGCGAGACUGUUAUAGAAUACAGUGAAUUAUGUACCAUAUAAUAAACUGUAAUGAUUGCAUAUUAGGUCAACUUACUGUUUCAUGUUGUUGGGAAACGAUGCAGAAAAACAUGAUACUGAAAGUAAAAUUUGUUGACUAUUGCAUAUAUGGACAAGAUGAACAUAUUUUCUGUGUUUGUGUGCACAAUUAUAUGUGAUUGUAGAUGAAUGCAUGUUUCUGUACUGCACCUACAUUCCCAUAGACAUAAGACAUUUGAAAAGCAUAUUAUACCACUAACACAGAAGUGAUGCAAAAAUGGCCAAAGUAAGAGCAAGUCAACCAACUGAAUAUAUUUCUUGCAAUGAUCAUACAGGCACAGCAACACCUGAACUAAAUAUGGUUCAGCUCAAAGUACUACUUCAACAGAAUAAACCAGGAAAAGGUCAACUUACAGGAUAUUGAAGCAGCAAUCCAGGCCUCAAUAAUAUCUUCCGACUUUUGUUUUGUCAAUAAUCAAGCUGGACGGAGUUAAACUACUCUCUUCUGCAUGCCAUGAACACCAAUUAGAUACCACUGUGAUAAAUUUAUAUCUUAAACUGAAAUCUGAUAAUUAAAUAUGUUCCUUAACAUAAAGAAUAGUGUUUCUGUUCAACAUGAAAAAUAAAUGGUAAUGCUUAUAGUAAGGAACACCAAGAAUUGAAGUUUAGCAUGUGGAAACAAAUUGGAUGACUAACGAACCUAGAAGCAAAUAUUUACAUCCAACUAUAUUGAUACAAAUAAUCAAUUUUUAGUAUUUCGACACAGCAUUAUGUGAUGAAGAAGAUAAGUAUCAAGAAGAUCAACAAAAAUAAGUAAUAAAAAUUCGCAUUUUUAAUUAGCAGGUAAUUACAAUAAUAUUGCUUUUGAAUCUAGAACCAUGUCAUCUGACUCCUUUAUGCAGCAAGAUCCAAAACAGAAUGGAAAAACCCAUGAAGAGAAGAGGCCAAUACCCGCAUUCUAAGGUACAUACAUGAAAACAAAUUAUCAAAUUGAACCAAUAAAUCCGGUAAAUUGAGCAUUCACAUUGUGAUUGUACAUGCAUUUGUGGUAUCAAAACAACACUGAGAACCCAAUUCAUUGAAAUAGUAAUGGCAUUAGAAAAAGUAAACUGGGAUUGCUUCUAUACUUACAUACCGCUGGUCUUCCAGUAGAGUCGCUCACUUGCUACUAUGAAAUUUGACAAAUUAUAUCGUAAAAAUGUAUAAUACCCUAAUUUGUUUCAUCAUUCUUGAAACCAGAACUACUCUCAAUCUCAAUGAUUCAGCUCUUCUACAACUUUCAUUAUCACUCCCAUUAUUACUCUAUAAUUGCAAUAUUAUUGUUUCUAUUACCUUAUUGAUUCUCAACUUCUUUUUCUACCAUAAAUUAUGAUAAUGUCAAGUGGCACAAGCUCAAUGUGUCCAAGGCAAUCUAAAGUCGAGAAGUCUAAGGGCAAGGCUAGUGAAAAUCAAAUGAUCGAAGAAGCUACUCCGACGAUAGAAACACACGAGGAAUCAGCCAUAGUAUUUCAAUUUGUUGCCACUUUUACUUUUGGCGAGCAAGUAAAU